CGCAUGGAAGGGCCAUCGCUCAACGGAUAAAAGCUACCCCGGGGAUAACAGGCUUAUCUCCCCCAAGAGUUCACAUCGACGGGGAGGUUUGGCACCUCGAUGUCGGCUCAUCGCAUCCUGGGGCUGUAGUCGGUCCCAAGGGUUGGGCUGUUCGCCCAUUAAAGCGGUACGCGAGCUGGGUUCAGAACGUCGUGAGACAGUUCGGUCCCUAUCCGUCGUGGGCGUAGGAAAUUUGAGAGGAGCUGUCCUUAGUACGAGAGGACCGGGAUGGACAUACCUCUGGUGUACCAGUUGUCGUGCCAACGGCAUAGCUGGGUAGCUAUGUGUGGACGGGAUAAGUGCUGAAAGCAUCUAAGCAUGAAGCCCCCCUCAAGAUGAGAUUUCCCAACUUCGGUUAUAAGAUCCCUCAAAGAUGAUGAGGUUAAUAGGUUCGAGGUGGAAGCAUGGUGACAUGUGGAGCUGACGAAUACUAAUCGAUCGAAGACUUAAUCAA
rnacentral:rRNA from 1 species